GGAGAUGGGAGGGGUUUCUUAGGUUCUUUGUGGGAUCUAUGGUGGUGUGAUUUAGUCCCAUUAGAUUUUGAGAGCUUAAUCUUGUAGAAGUAUGAUAUUUUGUAUGAUUUGAGGGAUUUUUGAUUGAAAGGCUCCAAAUCUCCUACCUGAUUGACACUCCUGGAGAUAGAAAAAAUAGAUGAAAAAUUAGGGGAAAAAUAGAAAAAUAAAUAAAAAAGGAAAAAAUAAAAGGUAAGACCUUUUGCCACGUAGAUUGGUUAAUUUUUUUUUCUUUUCACUUUUUUUUCUUUUCAUUUCAUUCUCUAUUUUGGAGAUCUAUGGGAAAGGAGAGAUCCCAAGGGAGGUCGGAGGAAAUUUUAGAUUCUAGUUGUCGCAGUGUGGGUUGGUCUCUUUGGUUUUUGAGAGCUUAAUCUUGGUAAAAGCAUGAUAUUUUGUAGGAUAUGGAGAUUUUUGUUUGAAACGAUUCUUGUUUGGCUAUAAAAUUUUCAAUUUAUGGAUUUGUUCUCAUGAUAACAUGAAUAAGAAUAAGACUUAGUUGGACGGGUUCGAAUACUUGAUGGGUUUGCCAAUUUUAAAUGGGAUGGGUUUGGGAUUUUUGCUUAAUUUCAUAACCAAGUUUGGAAUGGGUUUGGAUAGUUGAAGAUUGUAAAUGGGUUCAGAUAUGUGUAGGGCAAUUUGUUUGGGCACCCUAUCCAUUGCCAUCCUUAAGCAAGGAGAAAACCAAAUUAUGGUAUGUGCUUCGACUUUUUUUUGUCAUUGUUCAGAGGGUUCUUCCAUUCUCAUUUUAUAGUUUAGGUUUUUUAUCCAUUUUAAUUUCCAAAAGUAUUCUUCUUUGUUUUGUAAUCCUUUUAAAGUUUUAGAUCUUUUGUGGCAUCUUGUUGCCAACUAUUUAAAUCUUUUGCCUAUCAUUACUCUAAUUAUUUAAAUCUUUAUCCUAUCUUUGCUCUGAUUAUUUAACUCUAAUUGCUAUACUAUGCUAUAGUUUAAGAAUGUGCACUAUAGAAAUAUUUUUUCUUUCUUAUUAAACAUUGUGUGAUUAAACUUUGUGUGGCAUGUGUGUUAAACUUGGUAAUAUGUUUUUGAGCCUAGGAUUACUAUAUUUUAUGUCAUUUAUAUCAUAUUGUACUAUUUUUCAUAUCUCUAUUAUUAUAUUAUUUUACUAACUAAGCUUAUUAUUUUUUUAUGUUAUUAUGUAGACCUCUAUCAUUAUUAUGACUAUUUUAUAAUACAGUUCCACUAUGGUGGUUAUUUUGUCGAUGAACCAAGCAAAAAAUAUGUAGAUGGUAUGGCUGAUUGUUGGGAUUACAACAAUCCUGACGAGCUUUGUUAGAUAUAGAUGGCGUGGUGGAAUAGUUGGGAGAGCAAGGGUCAAUGACUUACUAGUUUAGAAUUUCAGAAAAAGAUUUAGACAAUGGUUUAUGGCUUUGAAGACGGAUAGGGAUGUACUUAACAUGUGCUCCCAAGUUCCCUAUAGU
rnacentral:lncRNA from 1 species